AGAUGUGGCUCAAAUCUAACAUUAAGGUGGCUGAGGUAUAAGCCAGCAGCUACAGCUCUGAUUCGACCUUUAGCCUGGGAACCUCCAUAUGCCAUGAGUGCAGCCCUAAAAAGCAAAAAAAACAAACAAACAAACAAAAAAAACAGAUGUUUCUAUGAAGGAAUUGUUCAGGCAUGAUUAACACUUAAGUCAGUACACACUGUGUAGAGCUGAUUACUCUUCAUACUGUGAGUGGUCCUUAUCUAAUUAGUUGAGGGUCUUAAGGGCAAAAACUGAAGCUUCCUAAAAUAGAAGGCAUUCUCCUCAAGACGGCAGCAUAGAAACCUUGCCUGACUUUGCAGACUGCUGCCCUGCUGAUCACACUCCAGAUGUAAUCCCCCCUGAGUUUAGGCUUCAGACUUGCCAACCCCAACAGUCACAUGAGCCAGUUCACAGAAAGCUCAUUUUCUCCUACUAGUUCUUUGGAGAACCCUGACUAAUACAAGUAUGGAAAAUCUACAUUAAAGAAGAGGUAUGAUUGAUAGCUCUCUUGUGGCUCAGCAGGUUAAGGAUCCAGUGUUGUCACUGCUGUAGCUUGGGUGGCAGCUGUGGCACAGUUCUGAUCCCUGGCCAUAGAACUGCCACAUGCCAAAAAUAAAUAAAAUGGUAAAUUAAAAAAAAUAGAUAUGGAGUGUCUGCUGUGGUGGAAUGCCAUUGGCAGCAUCUUAGGAGUGCUGGGAUGCAGGUUCAAUCUGUGGCAUGACACAGUGGGUCAAGGAUCUGGCAUUGCUGAAGCUACUGCUUAGAUCAAGACUAUAGCUUGGAUAUGAUCCCUGGCCCAGGAACUCCAUAUGCCACCGGGCAGCCAAAAAUGAAAGGAAAAGAAGUUACAAUUAUUAUGAUUAUAAGAGAUUUCAGUGGGCUAUAUCACUUUUAUAGUAAUCCUCUGAAGAAAGCACCACCUGCUUAUCAGUUUGCAAAAGUGAUACGUCUUGAAGGAGCCUUGAAAAAUUUAGUACUUCACAAGUCCCCAUGUGGCACAGCAAGUUGAGGAUCUGGCUUUGCCAUAGCUGUGAUGCAGGCUGCAACUGCAGUAGGUUCAGUCCCUGGCCUGGGAAUUUCCACAUGCUAUGGCCCUAAAAAAAAAGAAAGAAAACCCAUGUAUAUUCUAUCCAGCUUCAUCUAGUUUACCCAUUUACUUUAUCAUUGUGCCCAUACUGUCUUGCUGUACACAUAUACACUUGAGAGUAAGUUUUUUUUGUUUUUUGUCUUUUAAGGCUGCACCCACAGCAUAUGGAGAUUCCCAGGCCAGGGGUCUAAUUGGAGUUGUAGCUGCCAGCCUACACCACAGCCACAGCCACGCCAGAUUCAAGCUGUCUGUGACCUACACCACAGCCGACAAUGCUGGAUCCUUAACCUGCUGAGCGAGGCCAGGGAUUGAACCCACAACCUCAUAAUUCCUAGUAUGAUUGUUUCCAUUGCACCACUACAGGAGCUCCCAGAGAGUAAGUUAUAUACACUGUUAGUCCUUACUUCUAGAUGUUUCAGUGUGUACUUCCUAAGAGGAGAUGAUACUCUGUUACUCAUCCGGUACAGUUAUAAACUAAGGUAAAUUUAUUAUUGGUUUAAUACUUAUAUCUAUUCCAUUAUCUGUGUUCUACUUGUACUAAUUCAUUGAACAUUGUCCUUUAAAGCAUUUUUUAAUUCUUUUCCAUUAUGGUUUAUUUCAAGAUAUCAAAUAUAGUUCCCUGUGCUGUACAGUAGGACUUUGUUGUUUAUUUUUUACAGUUAGCUUGCAUCUGCUAAUCCCCAAAUCCUAAUUUAUCCCCCCUACUUUCUCCUUUCAUAACCAUAAGUUUGUUUUCUAUGUCUGCAAGUCUGUUUCUCUUUUAUAAAUAAGUUUGUGUCAUAUUAUACAUUCCACAUAUAAGUGAUAUAUGGUAUUUGCCUUUCUCUUUCUGACUUCACUUAGUAUGAUAAUCUGUAAGUCCAUCCAUGUUGCUGCAAAUGGUAUUAUUUCAUUCCUUUUGUGGCUGAGUAAUAUUCCAUUGUAUAUAUGUACGAUAUCUUUAUUCAUUCAUCUGUAAAUGGACACUUAGGUUGCUUCCAUGUCUUGGCUCUUAUAAACAGAGCUACUGUGAACAUGCGUCUUUUCAAAUUAUAGUUUUCUCUGAUUAUAGGCCCAGAAUUGGGAUUGUUGGGUCAUGUGAUAACUUUAGUUUUCAUUUUUUAAGGAACCUCCAUACUGUUUUCCAUAGUGGCUGCACCAUUUUAUAUUCCCACUAACAAUGUAGGAGGAUCUCUUUUCUCCACACCCUCUCUAGUGUUUACUAUUAUUUAUAGAUUUUUUAAUGUGACAAUUCUGACUGCUGUGAGGUGAUACCUCGUUGUAGUUUUGAUUUGCCUUUCUCUAACAGUGAAGUUGAGCAUCUUUUCAUGUGUCUUUGGCCAUUUGUAUGUCUUUGGAGAAGUGUCUAUUUAGAUCUUCUGCCCAUUUUUUGAUUGUUGUUGUUGCUAUUGAGUUGUAUGAGCCAUUUGUUUAUUUUGGAAAUUAGGCCCUUGCCAGUUGCAUUGUUUGCAAAUAUUGUUUUCCAUUUUGUGGGUUUUUUCAUCUUGUUUAUGGUUUCCUUUGCUAUGCAAAAGCUUAAAGCAAUUUUUUUUUUCUUUAAUAUGGGAUCAAGUUCUCAUGUCUUUCUAAUAUGGCUUUUCCACAGCCUUUCUUUGUCUUGUAUGACAUAGGAGCCAUCGUUUUGAUGCAUGAUUUCCAGGAAAAUAGGUUAUUCAGCAAUUGCUAGUUUUAGCACAAAUCAGAGUCAGAUAUAAAUGAAUAUCAGAUGUAGUUUUCCUCCUAGGACCUCAUUAAGAUCACACAGAAUUCUGGAUAUGAAACACAUACCCUAGUAAUGCCCUACUAAAUCACUUAAUAGUCCCGUUGCUCUGUUAACGAUCUCCUCAUCUAGGUUUUCCUUUGCCCUGGUCAGUCAGUGGGUAAGACAGACUUUGUGUCUGAAGUCCUAUAACUAAAAGCUUAUUUUGAAUUAGAGCUGGGUUUGGGAAUUAGAACCGCAUCUGGUUUUCAGGUAAUUAAUUCAUAAGAGGAAACUAAGAUCUAGAGUUUGAAAAAAAUUUCAGUGAGAAGACAUUGAAGUCACCGGGGAUAGGCUUUUCCAAAAUAUGAUCCCUUCAGCUUUAUUUAAUAUAUUUUAUAUUUUAAAAAAACUAAUAUAAUUAGCUUGAUUUAGCCCAUAACAAGCUCUGGCUUCUUUCUUUCUUUUUUAACAAAGGGGAACAUUGGAUUAAAUUACUAUUCAUCUGAAAAUAUUAUUCGAUGGGGAAAAACCCAUUAGAUGCAUAAAGACAGAUAAUGCUAAAUAGUUAAUUGGGAACAGAGGAUCACGUGAUGGAGAAUAGAUGACUAAGAGUUACUGGUUUUGAAAUAAGUUUUUAUGCAGUGUCAUAUAGUCUAGUUAAAAUCACUGUCAUGAUGACUUCUGGUCCAGAAGUGGAAGUCAUAUAGUGCAUCAUGUAACAGCUUCGCUUUGGCUGACUUGCUGUCUUGGCAUGGCUUUUGCUGCAGAUGCGUAUAGAGAUGGUGCAUGUCAUACUUCUAAAAAAUGUCAUCGAAUAACAGACUAGAAACAAUUUAAGGAAACUUCUGAAUUAAUAGAUUUUUUUUAAAAGAUAAUUUAUUUAAAAUUAUGUUCUUGUGACCAGUGAAAAUAACUUUUUCUAAACAGGAAAAAUGCUAAAUUAGAAUUUGAUAGGGAGCUGAGGGGGAAGGGUUAUACAUGUUUAGAUAGUUAACAGCUGAUUACCAGUGAGAAAUCUGCCCCCCCCACCAUAAUAGAUAUUACUUUUAUGAAAAAGAAAGCUGCUUUUUGUUUUGUUUUAUUUGUAAAACUUGGUGAAUAAAAUGAUUGGCCUUUAAAAGAACUGAAUGCCAUUCUCAUUUAGAGACCAAUGAAUUGUGGGGCCUAGUAACCAAGACCAGGAAGUUAGUAAUAAAGUUUGCUAAGAAAAAUGACUCAUUCACCCAAUUUAGUCAACACACCUUGCUCUGGAAACCCAAGUGGCCUUGGUCCUAAGGAAGAUGUGCCCAUACUAAGUGUAAAACAUCUCUGAUGAAACAAAGGUUUCUAGACACAUUUCUAAAGCGUUUUCCAUUAUUUACCACACAGGAGGUCAGGUGUGAUGCAAAUGAAAGGUAGUUGUUUUGUUUGGAUGAGUCCCCCCCACCACCACCUUGACAAGGACAGAGAUGCUUCUUUCUCAUCACGUGAAGGGAUUAAAUUGUUUCCUUCUGAAUGGGCCUGUACCGGCUCAGUGCAGAAGGAGCCAUGUGCUUGGGGAUGAGUUCUGGAUUUUGCCUUCCAGCUUCUUCAAGUGGUUUUCCACCCCUUAAUGUACCUAAAUGGAAUUUGAAGAGGCUGCUCUCUACUUCCUCCCAGAGAGACAGAUCCUCCGGUGAGUCAUGCAGGCAGGCGCUCCAGCGGCUGGGCGUUUGCUCUUCUAAGCAGACAAGCUUGCAUUGCACCAGCAUCCCGUGUUGCCUACAGCAUCAGCAGUCUCCUCUUGUAUCCCAGACAAGGCUGCCAACUCUGCCUGGUGCCACAGCCCCAAGGAACCAAGGCCCGGGUCUAAGGAUUUUAUAGACUGGAAGGGAAAGGGGAUAACUGAUGCCCAUUUCACAGCAAGAGCAGCAAGGGUGUGUACUGGGGGAAAUGGGUAGCAGUAUGCUGGGUCUGGGCUGAGGAAGACCGGUGGAGACUGUGAUUCAGUCUAGGGUCUGGAGUGCCUGCAGCAGUACUUUAGGACUUGGGCACUACUUUAAAAAAUCACCAUGGGAGGGUCCCUUGUGGCACAGCGAGUUAAAGAUCCAGCAUUGCCACAGCUGUGGUGCAGGCUGCAACUGUGGCUUGGUUCCAUCCCUGGCCUGGGAACUUCCAGAUGCUGGGGUAGGGGGUGGUGGAGGUUAAAAAAAAAAAAAUCCCCAUGAAUAAUUCGUGAAUAAUUAUUUUCCAUUCCCCUAAGAGAGCUCAGGUAUGAGCAUUAAAUUUUCUUUUCUUUUUUUAAUUUCUCUUACUCAACUCUUUUUUUUUUUUUUAAUUUUUAAAAAGAUUUUUAGGAGUUCCUGUCGUGGCUCAGCGGUUAGCAAACCCAACUAGCAUCCAUGAGGACUCGGCUUUGAUCCCUGGCCUCACUCAGUGGGCUAAGGAUCUCGUGUUGCCAUGAGCUGUGGUGUAGGUUAGAGACACGGCUCAGAUCCUGCGUUGCUGUGGCUGUGGCAUAGGCCGGCAGCUCCAGCUCCGAUUGGAUCCCUAGCCUAGG
rnacentral:lncRNA from 1 species